rnacentral:lncRNA from 1 species
CCCUUUUUUUUUAAUAGUCCAAUUUCACCAGAAAAUGGGACAAUUUGCUGAUGCGUUAAUUUUGUCGGGAGCUACUGUAUUUGUUUCCACUUUAGUUCACGCGCUGCCUUGUUGGGGGCUGCGGGUUCGUCGGUAGGAGAUCCUCCCGCUGGAUAAAAGCGGAAGACGGAGCCGCUAGUGAGGCAGAGUUGUUAUUUUUGCUUUACAGCCAGAGACGCGACCCCGUCACCCCAGACGCUGGGACGCGACGGAGGCAGGAUUUGGGGGUCUGCUCCAAACCGGCAGCGCUGAAAACCAUGUUCAGCCGCUGCCGAAGCUCGAUGGCGUUUACCUGGCACGAGCCAAUCUUGGCUUUACUGACGAGGCAACGGCCGGAUGUCGGAGGACGAGGUGGUCAUGGGAACGCGAUGCCCCGAGCGGGAGGAUGUCCCAGCGGCUCCAAAGCUCCAUCCAGGAUUUGAUAGACCUCCAUCACGGCCGCUCUGAGCUGCUUAUUUCCCAGUCCUCAUACGGAAACGACCCCGUGCACUGACGGCCUUUCUGCCCCUCGGCCUGGAUCACCAAGAGCAGGACAGGGGUUGGAGACCACGUCCUCACGACUCCGAGUGCUCUCCAACCCGGGACCCACGACCAGCUGAGCAGUUCCUACCGUCUUGUUCAGUUUAAGGGUUCAUGUGACAAAGUUCCCCAAACCAACACCGGAGGAAAGACACGGUGCUCCAGGUGCCAGGUUCAGCCACAAGCAAAGUGGUGCAGAUGGAGGGUUUCUGAUCUGGUGAUUAUUCUCACAAAGUCCUCUGAAAAACCACGGGCUGAGGAUGCUCUCCAUCGUCUUUCUGUGAGCGAGAGACACUCCUCAGCUAUUGUUGCUCUCCAAAAGCUACACCAUCCUCUCCAGCCCU